rnacentral:rRNA from 1 species
UACGUAGGGGGCUAGCGUUGUCCGGAAUCAUUGGGCGUAAAGCGCGUGUAGGCGGUUCGGUAAGUCCGCUGUGAAAGCCCGAGGCUCAACCUCGGAACUGCCUUCGAUACUGCGGGUCUCGAGUCCGGGAGAGGUGAGUGGAAUUCCUAGUGUAGAGGUGAAAUUCGUAGAUAUUAGGAAGAACACCAGUGGCGAAGGCGGCUCACUGGCCCGGUACUGACGCUGAGGCGCGAAAGCGUGGGGAGCAAACAGG